rnacentral:rRNA from 1 species
CUACGGGACGCUGCAGUGAGGAAUAUUGCACAAUGGGGGGAACCCUGAUGCAGCAACGCCGCGUGGAGGAUGACGCAUUUCGGUGUGUAAACUCCUUUUAUAUGUCAAGAAAAUGACGGUAGCAUAUGAAUAAGUACCGGCUAACUCCGUGCCAGCAGCCGCGGUAAUACGGAGGGUGCAAGCGUUACUCGGAAUCACUGGGCGUAAAGGACGCGUAGGCGGGUUGGGAAGUCAGGUGUGAAAUCCUACAGCUUAACUGUAGAACUGCACUUGAAACUUCUAAUCUAGAGUAUGGGAGGGGGAGAUGGAAUUAGUGGUGUAGGGGUAAAAUCCGUAGAUAUCACUAGGAAUACCUAAAGCGAAGGCGAUCUCCUGGAACAUUACUGACGCUAAGGCGUGAAAGCGUGGGGAGCAAACAGGAUUAGAUACCCUCGUAGUC